rnacentral:rRNA from 1 species
GACGAACGCUGGCGGCGUGCUUAACACAUGCCAGUCGAACGGAAAGGCCCUGCUUUUGUGGGGAGCUCGAGUGGCGAACGGGUGAGUAACACGUGAGUAACCUGCCCUUGACUUUGGGAUAACUUCAGGAAACUGGGGCUAAUACCGGAUAGGAGCUCCUGCUGCAUGGUGGGGGUUGGAAAGUUUCGGCGGUUGGGGAUGGACUCGCGGCUUAUCAGCUUGUUGGUGGGGUAGUGGCUUACCAAGGCUUUGACGGGUAGCCGGCCUGAGAGGGUGACCGGCCACAUUGGGACUGAGAUACGGCCCAGACUCCUACGGGAGGCAGCAGUGGGGAAUAUUGCACAAUGGGCGGAAGCCUGAUGCAGCAACGCCGCGUGCGGGAUGACGGCCUUCGGGUUGUAAACCGCUUUCGCCUGUGACGAAGCGCGAGUGACGGUAAUGGGUAAAGAAGCACCGGCUAACUACGUG